ACUCCUACGGGAGGCAUCAGUGGGGAAUAUUGGACAAUGGGCGAAAGCCUGAUCCAGCCAUGCCGCGUGUGUGAAGAAGGCCUUCGGGUUGUAAAGCACUUUAAGUUGGGAGGAAAGCCUGUAUGUGAAUAAUGUGCAGGGUUGACGUUACCGACAGAAUAAGCACCGGCAAACUCCGUGCCAGCAGCCGCGGUAAUAC
rnacentral:rRNA from 1 species